rnacentral:rRNA from 1 species
AUUGAACGCUGGCGGCAGGCCUAACACAUGCAAGUCGAGCGAGCGGCGGACGGGUGAGUAAUGUCUGGGAAACUGCCUGAUGGAGGGGGAUAACUACUGCAAACGGUAGCUAAUACCGCAUCCCAUCAGAUGUGCCCAGAUGGGAUUAGCUAGUAGGUGGGGUAACGGCUCAACUAGGGGACGGUACCUAGCUGGUCUGAGAGGAUGACCAGCAAAACUGGAACUGAGACACGGUCUAGACGCAUACGGGAGGCAGAAGUGGGGAAUAUUGCAAAAUGGGCGAAAGCCUGAUGCAGCCAUGCCGCGUGUGUGAAGAAGGCCUUCGGGUUGUAAAGCACUUUAAGCGGGGAGGCGUUACCAGCAGAAGAAGCACCGGCUAACUCCGUGCCAGCCGCCGCGGUAAUAC